rnacentral:rRNA from 1 species
CUUUAUUGGAGAGUUUGAUCCUGGCUCAGGAUGAACGCUGGCGGCGUGCCUAAUACAUGCAAGUCGAGCGAAUGGAUUAAGAGCUUGCUCUUAUGAAGUUAGCGGCGGACGGGUGAG